CAUAGUGAGGAGACGUCUGGGCAUCAAGUUCUGCAGAGAGAACAUUGAGCUGGACCAGGCGCGCUUUUUGCAAAGGGGUUAUGAUCAAACUCGCUCGCAGACCGACAAACAGGCCCUAGUCAAAGGCCUGAAGGAAGUUCAGGACCAAACAUAAAAGGAGCCACACCGGAUUGUCCAUCGUGAAAAAGUGGUCAGAUCUGAAGAGGAGGCAGCUCGAUCUGAACACUUGUAUCCGGGACAAGAAAUGGCCAGGGGCUCCACUUCCCUCUGUUCGGCAGAUGAGAGCAAACAAGGAGAUGGUGGUGGUUGAGGUGGAGGAGGAUGAUGAUGAUGACAACGACGGAGAGGAGGCAGGACCCUCCUGUCGUCCACCUGCUUCACCAAUACGUGACAUAGGGGAAAAUGUGGAGGUGGAGGCCAAAGAGGCUUCUCCUUAUCAGGAACCACAUUACCCUCCCCCCCACCCCCAGCUCCUGAUGAGGAAGAAGAGGAGGAGAAGGAGGAAGUUGCCUUCUGCCC